rnacentral:tRNA from 1 species
GAGGUUGUGACUCAGCGGUAGAGCAUCCGUCUAGCACAUGUGAGGCCCUGGGUUCAAUCCUCAGCACCACA